GAUGAACGCUGGCGGCGUGCCUAAUACAUGCAAGUCGAGCGAACGGACGAGAAGCUUGCUUCUCUGAUGUUAGCGGCGGACGGGUGAGUAACACGUGGAUAACCUACCUAUAAGACUGGGAUAACUUCGGGAAACCGGAGCUAAUACCGGAUAAUAUUUUGAACCGCAUGGUUCAAAAGUGAAAGACGGUCUUGCUGUCACUUAUAGAUGGAUCCGCGCUGCAUUAGCUAGUUGGUAAGGUAACGGCUUACCAAGGCAACGAUGCAUAGCCGACCUGAGAGGGGGAUCGGCCACACUAGAACGUAGACACGGUCCAGACUCCUACGGGAGGCAGCAGUAGGGAAUCUUCCGCAAUGGGCGAAAGCCUGACGGAGCAACGCCGCGUGAGUGAUGAAGGUCUUCGGAUCGUAAAACUCUGUUAUUAGGGAAGAACAUAUGUGUAAGUAACUGUACACAUCUUGACGGUACCUAAUCAGAAAGCCACGGCUAACUACGUG
rnacentral:rRNA from 1 species